rnacentral:lncRNA from 1 species
AAUUUGAGAUUGUCCAUUAUUGCAUGUUAAUCUUAUCAGGUUUAAAGAGCCUCAUUUAGCUGACCCAGUCUCCAGGGGACAUCAAAAAUACUUCUUGCUGUGCGGAUACACUGCUGCUGGUAAGUCUUGAAUGUAGGGGAUGAGGGCAAAGGUUUGAACAUUUAACAAAGCAAAAUCAGCCGCCUAUGUGCCUCCCCCAUCCUUGCUCUCUCCCCUCUCCACAGAACAACAGGGCUGUGGAUGCUGCUUUUCCAGCCAAUGAAGAGCCGCCUUCCAGCUCUGGGACCAAGAGCCAGGCGUCCAUCACUCCCUCUUCUGGAGCUUCCAUGGAAUGACGGCCUGUUCUCCAGGAGGCUGCACCACCUCAUUAGCAGAUCUGUACUCACUGUUCCUUCUUUCCCUUCUCUCUUAAAUAGCUUUAAAAACAUAGUAUUCUUAGCCGAAGCUAGGCUAUGAGAAAACAUCUUUCCCGCCCACUCCUCCUCCCAUACACUGAAUCCUAACCAUUUAGUUCCAUCUUCAGUGCAAUGUGGAAAACUCAAAGGCCCAGAUCUGAAACCCCCAUAGCUUUGGCUUUCCCUUCCCACCCCUCUGUAACCAGAGUGAUCGCCUCAAGACUCCCAUGCCCUGUGUGGUGGAGGUCUGAACAGUGGGCUUUGAAAGGGGUGCCCAUGUUCCUUCCAUGGCUGCAUCCUGCUUCUUUCUGCUAAAGUCCUCCCCCUCCUCUCUUGACUUCUGUAAUCUAGGCCUUUUCAGAGGAAAAGAAAACAAAUUCUAAGGAGCUUGAAGCUCCAAUAUUGCUCUCAUUUGUUUCCAAAGUACUCCCCGCCUCUCACUCUAUUUCUGGCAACAAUUUCCAUUGGGUUUCAAAGCUCAGGAGCAGCCGCCACAGAUUUCUCUGAGAUUUAGGGCUGAUUUUUCACAUCGAUAGCUCAGGAGACUUGGAGGAUGUCGGCUUUGUGGCUGGUUCAGGCGCCUGGCACCUCAGCACAGCAAGAUUCUCAAGAAUAUUCUGCAAAAAUGGCUCCUAGCAAAGAAAAUUACCUUAUUCAUGGAACUAUCUUUGAGUCGUGGAGGUAAUACUCCUUCAUUCAACAUUCAUUUAUUGAGUACUUCCUGUGUACAAUUUGGGCUAUAAAUAGACAUUUCUAUGAUAGGAGUCUGGCCUUAAAAGUGCUUACAAUCAGGUUAUGAAGACCAAACACAGAUAUAUAAAUAAGGAGCUAAGAAUGCAGGCCAGUCUGCUUAAAGGACUGGGACCAUGUAUUACUCAUCUUUGAAAUCCUAGAACCUACUACUGUUCCUGGCACUCACUAAAGGUCCAGCCCAUGGUUGCUAAAUGAGUGAAUGAGAGAAAAGCUUGGGGGUGGGUUGAUUGGGGAGCGCAUUGUGGAGGAGUUAGACUUAAGAUGAGUAUAGAAGGUGGGUGGAUGUAUUCUUUAUAUUGCUUUAGAGAGGAGCCUAUAGCAAGAAGACCUGAGCCCUGGGAAGGGACCGCAGCAGGGCCUCCCUCUCUAUAGUCCUUGCUGUGAGGCUCUGCCCAUGGCACAGCAGCAGGAGAGGGUGGAAUGGCCAUAGAAGGCCAAAUCUGCUUGGCUUCUUUCUUGUCAUCAUAAUUUCAGGGACACUAGUGCCUGGGAUGGGAUCCGUGUCUGGUUCUUGGUCAGAAGAACUUCCCUGCAACACUAGACAAGGCUCUUCCUGACCAUUCUACCUAGAGUCCGUCUACCCACACCCAGAGUCACUCUCUCUUAGGUGAGCCAGUCCUUUCUUCUGUAAUAAGUAUGACAAUCUCAAAGCACCCUGUUUACUUGUUUGAGGUUGAUCUCCUCUAUAGGAAGUAACUCCACACAGACAAAGACCUUGGCUAUCUUGUUGCCUCCCUUGGGGCUAGUGCAGUACCUGCCUCCUAGCUUCGGCUCAAUUGUAUUUUUUGGAUGAACUUCCUGGCCUCUUGGGGGAAAACUCUGCAGCUGUGGAGGAGGCUACAGAGGGGAAAGUUCUUCCUAAAGGGCAGGCAGUACAGCCUUGGGGUGGACGCUGCCUCUGAGUGCAGCCCUUUCCAUGCUCCCAGUGGCAGGCUGUGUGAUGCUUGCUUAUGAGAAGCUGGUGAGAGAUGCUUGGGCCAUGAGCCCAGGAGGCAGAUGCCCCUUCCAUGGAGCUUCUCUGUCCUUCCUCCUUUUCCAGCUUCAUUUAGUAAAGGGAGCACCACUAGCCCGAGAUGGAACUCUCAGGCAGAUAAGCUUUGUCUGCAGUGGCCUCCUCACUGUGGUCAUAUACCCUAAAACUGCCAGGUCACCUCAUGACCCCACACUGGCCGGAUUCUCUCUCUGCACUCUCAUGUCUGCCCCACUCUCCAUGUGGCCUACCUACCCAAAGUUUUCUAUUUGAGUUGCAGCCAUUUAGGGACCUGCCCUGAGGUGCUUAUUAAACGUAUCAGCUGGGCUAAUAGCUUAAAACUGUUACGCUCCUAAUUAGGUGAUCCAGAGUCUUAGGAGCAUCACGUUAUAAUUCAAAGGCUUUCCAUCCAAUCCAAUCCAAUCCAAUCCAAUCCAAUCCAAUCCAAUCCAAUCCAAUCCAAUCCAAUCCAUUCCGCUCCACUCUAAUCCAAUCCACUCCAAUCCAUUACAAUGUGUGUACAGUGUAGGAACAAUCAUAGUGUUCCUAAACUGGGCAUGGACAAACCAGAGGAUAUGGGGACAGGGAAGGAGAGCAUCUUUGAGUAGCACCUCUGCAAUCUUAAGCUCACAGAUAAUGGUUCUCAAUUCUACCCAUGGGAAGAGCCACCCUCCUUUUGCUGGUGCUGUCACUAGGGGCUUCUGAGCAAGGAGGCAUGAAUCACUCUGGGGCAUAGUGAGCAGGCUCAGAGCCUUCUGGAUCAUGCCUGGCUCUUUUACUGACCUUAGAGGAAUCAGUCUACCCUAAGACUGCUUUAUAGUCUCUGCUUCCGGGAUUUUCCAUUCUUUGGGAGCAUGACUCAGAAAAGCCUAUGGGCCUUGGGAGGGAGGUUAUCAGUUGGAUCAUCUCUAAUAAGAAUGUGCUCUCUGCCUCCAGGCUGGGGCACACCGAAUCAUGGAAAUCUAUCAGCGCUUGGUUACAAAAGGGUAAAAGGCAAAAGUUGGGAAGUUUUCUUGCUGGGUCACACAAUUUUCUAGACUCUGGUCCAUAUUGGACUUUAUAUCAUCCACUGGGUUAAAAGAAUACCAGAAAGAACCCAGACUUGUUCCAGUCUUGGUUUGAUAUCCCGUAGCUGUGCAGCCCCAGGCAGAUCACCAUACAUCCCUGAGUUUCCAUCCUCCUCUCUGGUGAACAGAGGAGAUUGGACUAGAUUAAAGUUCCCUGAAGUUUGCUUUUCAGUAUCUUAGUCCUGGGUGACUCUCUGUGAGUAGGGUGGAUUUGCUACCUCCUCUGGCCCCCUUCUUGGAGAUUCACAAUCCACAUUAGCUUAUUAAAGGCUCUGAGGACCAUUAAAGACACAUGCUGUUUAAUCUGGCAUUUCCCAAAUUUCGUAGAUAGUGAAAUUCUUUCCUUCUGUAACACUAAUAUUAGUGUGCCGGGGAUCUAGGGUUUCUCAGAGCAUCCUUUGGAAAAUGUAGACUAGGCCAUCUCUAAUGCUUUGUAAUUCUUCAUAUUUUGCAGGGAUAGAUGAAAUUUCGAGCAGCCCUCUGCCAUCAGUCACAGUUUCACCCUCCUUGUGGUGUCAUAGGUGAAUGGCUGGGCCUGUGUCAGAACUCACUUCCAGUUCACGGGUUGCAACCCAAGUGGCUCAUCUGCUUGCCAAAGCUGAGGCUCUGGAACCUAAAGGCUUCAGGAAGCUUCUGGCUGGAGAGAAACUCCAAGGACCACCCACUCCAUUUCCCAGCCCUUCUGCCACUGCCAUUCUGCAUUUCAAAGAUCAACUCUGCAUGCCAAUUUCUGUUCACAAAAUGACCCAGAGAGAAGGUUUUUCAAUUGUUGCCUGCAGUUUAUUUAAGGCGCAAACCUACAUUUAAGUUUAACAAAAUCUCUCCUGCUGCAGUGACAAGCCAUAAUUUAUGUGUUGCUUAUGGUUUACUGUGUGCUUCUUACAGAGGAUGUGAAGAUCAUUCUCUAGGGCUUCAUGCGGUAGCUGAGAGGUCAACACACAGGGGCCAUUGUAGAGAGCAGGGUAUGCUGCUUAUUCUUAGUGUGCUGCUAAGUAUAUUGGGCCUUGGUUUCCUCAUCUGCUGAAUGUGAAUAAUGAUCCCUGCUCUAUUUCUCAGCAUUCCUUUGGAGGGCUAAUGCUUCAAUGGGCACAAAAGCAGUUUGCAACCUCUAAAGUGCCAUGCAGUGGGUCCACAUUAUAGGCACAUGAAUUAAACACUAAGCACUGGAGAAAGAGAAAGGGAAACCAAUAAGGACUUAAACAGGGUGAGCACAGGACAGGAGACAGGAAUCUGCUAUUUCUUCAGCUGGUUCCAGCUCCCACGUGCCUUUCACAGUGUGAGCAUCUCAUCUCACUGUGUUUCUAAAGUGUUUAAAGAUAUAUGAUUUUUCGUACAUCAUAGCCUGAAUGCAAGCCAACUACUUCAUCUGGUACUCAACCAAGAAAACAGGGAACUGUUGCAACAAGAGAGGAAAUAAUACUUCUGUUGGUUUUUUUCACAGGUGAUAUGCAGGUCUCCACUGGGGCACUUUUCUAAGGAGUUUUCAAGGUUAACGCUGACUGUGUGUCACACACCGCCUUCAAGCCCAAUCCCAUGCAAGAGGUGCCUCUUUUGUACAGGAAGAGUUGAUGGAGGACAGGAUGAAUCUCAUCACCCUUGGCUUCUGGUUUCUGGCUAUGACCUAGUCACUUCCUAUGGGAACCUGCUUCUGAUCCUCAGCAGAGACUGGAGGACCUUUCACCUCUGCAUCCUUCAUUAUCCACAUGCAUUUCUGUAUCCAGAGCUGGAGGCAUUUGCGAUGACUCUCCAAGGUCACCAGGAUGUGGCCUGGAAAGGCCAGCAGGAGUGGAGUCAAAGGAAGGAAUACACAAGUAACAAAGGGAGAAAUUACAACAGUGAGAAUUUCACUAAGGAAUCUAGCCCAUGUCAUCAUGUUUACAGACAGCCCUGGAUUCAACUUGGGACUGGGGCUUAGGGAACCUGGCACCUUUAUUAGCUGGGUAACCUGGGAUGAGUCUAACCUUCAUGAUUUGUCUUCUCAUCUGUCAAAUUGGGCUAAAGAUCUCAGUCUACCCCAGGAGUCUACUGUCAGGGUCAAAUAAAACGAAAG